rnacentral:rRNA from 1 species
GACGAACGCUGGCGGCGUGCUUAACACAUGCAAGUCGAACGGAAAGGCCCUGCUCUUGUGGGGUGCUCGUGUGGCGAACGGGUGAGUAACACGUGUGUAACCUGUCCUUGACUUAGGGAUAACUUCAGGAAACAGGGGCUAUUAUCGGAUAGGAGCUCCUGCUGCAUGGUGGGGGUUGGAGAGUUUCGGCGGUUGGGGAUGGACUCGCGGCUUAUCCGCUUGUUUGGGGGGUAGUGGAUUACCAAGGCUUUGACGGGUAGCCGGCCUGAGCGGGUGACCGGCCACAAUACGACUGAGAUACGGCCCAGACUCCAACGGGAGGCAGAAGUGGGGAAUAUUACACAAUGGGCCGGAGCCAGAUGCAGCAACGCCGCGUGCGGGAUGACGGGCUUCGGGUGGUGAACCACUUUCGCCUUAGACGAAGCGUUAGUGACGGUAAUGGGUAAAGAAGCACCGGCUAACUACGUG